rnacentral:rRNA from 1 species
AUGUCGUCCUCAAGCUCCACCGCUGCCGCACCAUCCGUCCUCAUCCCCAUUGCUGAUAAGCUCCACCGCUCCAACUUCAACGUCUGGCGUGCGCAGGCUCUCGCCACCAUCCGUGCCGCCCAGCUGGUUGCCUACCUUGAUCCAGAGAGGGAAAUACCGGCGCCAACCCUCUCUGACAAGGAUGGCAAACCCACAGCUACGCCCAACCCGGCGUACGAGAUCGACAGGGCUCGAGACUCUCAGGUUUUGAGUUUCCUUUUUAAUUCCAUCUCACCUCCUGUGAUGGUUCAGAUCGCAAACUGCACCACGGCGUCAGCAGCAUGGACUGCAAUCACCGAGAUCUUCAUCUCCCAGACGCAGGCGGCCAUCGUCAAUACGAGGAUCGCCCUCUCCACCACCAAGAAGGGGAAUUCCACCAUCGCCGAGUAUCUUGGCCGCAUGAAGGCCCUUGGCGAUGAGAUGGCUGCCAUCGGCAAGCCACUCACCGACGACGACAUGGUGUCGUACAUCCUCGCCGGGCUUGACCUCGACUACAUAUCGUUUGUCUCCUCGGUCUGCGCCAGGACAGUCCCCAUCAAACCAAACGAGCUCUACUCCCAGCUGAUCAGCUUUGAAAGCCGCCUCGCCAUGUUCCAGGGGAACUCUUCGUCGCUCUCCUCCGCCAACGCUGCUUCACGCGGCGGCCGUGGUGGAUUUCCUCGUGGCGGCGGCAGCGGCAGGAACGGCGGAGGCCGUGGUCACGGUGGUGUCCGUGGCAAUGGAGGCAAUGGCGGCGGCCGUGGAAACGGCCACGGUGGUCGCGGCAAUGGAGGUGGCGGCCGUGACGAGCUCCCGGAGGUCUUCUGUCAGAUCUAUAAGAAGCCAAAUCACACUGCCCUCGAGUGCUACCGUCGUUUUGACAUCGCCUUCACCAAAGAAAAAAGUGCAAGCGCUGUGUCCAACUCCUCCUACGGUGUUGACACGAACUGGUACGUUGACACCGGCGCCACCGACCACAUCACCGGCGAGCUGGACAAGCUCACCAUGAGGGAGAGGUACAACGGCCACGACCAAGUGAACAUGCCAAACGGGUCUGGACAAGGCAACGAGGAACACCCUCCUCCAAGGCAGGUGUAG